CAGGAUUUUAUAAUUGUACUAUAAGAAUAGAGGUACUAAUGUAUGUCUUCAUUCCAUUUUACCAGCCACCCUUUGAAUAGCAGAAAGGAAUGAUCCUCUGGGACAUUGGUAGAAAUGCUUCUGACAGACUGCCACUGUAUCCACACAAGAG